CGACGAGUUUGAUCCUGGCUCAGAGUGAACGCUGGCGGCAGGCCUAACACAUGCAAGUCGAGCGGCAGCGCGUCCGACCACCCUCGGGUGGUCGGAUGGCGGCGAGCGGCGGACGGGUGAGGAAUGCAUCGGAAUCUGCCUCGUUGUGGGGGGAUAACGUAGGGAAACUUACGCUAAUACCGCAUACGACCUACGGGUGAAAGUGGGGGACCUUCGGGCCUCACGCGAUGAGAUGAGCCGAUGCCGGAUUAGCUAGUUGGCGGGGUAAAGGCCCACCAAGGCGACGAUCCGUAGCUGGUCUGAGAGGAUGAUCAGCCACACUGGAACUGAGACACGGUCCAGACUCCUACGGGAGGCAGCGGUGGGGAAUAUUGGACAAUGGGGGCAACCCUGAUCCAGCCAUGCCGCGUGUGUGAAGAAGGCCUUCGGGUUGUAAAGCACUUUUGUUGGGGAAGAAACCGGCCGGGUUAAUACCCUGGUUGAAUGACGGUACCCAAAGAAUAAGCACCGGCUAACUUCGUG
rnacentral:rRNA from 1 species